rnacentral:rRNA from 1 species
UACGUAGGGUGCAAGCGUUAAUCGGAAUUACUGGGCGUAAAGCGUGCGCAGGCGGUUAUGCAAGACAGAUGUGAAAUCCCCGGGCUCAACCUGGGAACUGCAUUUGUGACUGCAUGGCUAGAGUGCGGCAGAGGGGGAUGGAAUUCCGCGUGUAGCAGUGAAAUGCGUAGAUAUGCGGAGGAACACCGAUGGCGAAGGCAAUCCCCUGGGCCUGCACUGACGCUCGAUGCACGAAAGCGUGGGGAGCAAACAGG